GGCGUGCGCCUGUAAUCCAGUUACUUGGAGGCUUGGAUUGGAGGACGGCGUGAGAUUGGGAGCCAUGUGGCGCUCUGCCCUAUGUCGAUCGGGCGUCAGCGCUAAGCUCGGCGUCAAUAUGGACAUCCCGGGGGAGCUUGGGGUGGCCAGGUUGUCUAAGGAGGAACGAACCGGGCGAGGCCCGAAAGGGAGCAGCCAAAAGUUCCCACGUUGAUCAGUAGCGGGAUAGCGCCUGUGAAUAGGCGGAGUGUCACAGCCCAGUCAAUAUC
rnacentral:SRP_RNA from 10 species